AGCGCAAUCACGUGACGUUUGCCGCAUGCGCACUGCUUGUUUGUGUGUGCAGCGUCGCUGUUUUUGCUAGCUGCUUUCUUCUGGAGACGGUGAGGCUCUCGCAUGGAGGCCGUGUGCGAGCAGGUCCAUGGAGGUGAGGAGGAGGCGAUGCUGUGGUCCAUCCAGGAGGCCGUGGAGAGGCAGACCCAGCAGAUAGGAGCGUCGGCCUGCGGGGCCACAGCGGUGGUGGACGUGCUGAAGGCCCUCGGCGUGGACGUGGCCCCGGAGGAGGCGGACCGCUGCGUCCGGACCCGCCUGAGGAGGACCGAGUCCCCGCUGCCCGACUACCUGCUCUCCCGGAGCGAAGCCGGUGCGACUCACGCGCAGCUCAUCCGAGGAGCGCAGGAGGCCAGCAAGGGGAAGGUAGCGGGACGCUUCUUCCACCUUCACCCUCGGCGGCGGGUCGGGCUGGUCCCCUGGCUCGCACGCUGGAUCCGAAAGGGCGCCGUACCGGUGGCGACCAUGAACAUGCAGCUGGCCGUGCCCGAGGGGGAGGAGGUGCCGGACGCCUGGCACCAUCAGCUCAUAUUCGGCGUUGCACCCGAUGCUGUUUUCAUGACCAACCCUUUAGAUGUAGGAAGCGUGGAAGAGGUGCACCAGAGACUCUGCAGUGAAUCGGUGUUGCUGAUUCGUCGAGAAGAUGUCCUGCAGAGACUGACGCCAGAUUGCUGUCUGUCCAGUUUGUCUGACCCGCAGUGGAAAGCCCUGGAUAUCGAGGGUCAAGUGAGGCAGAUGGCCCUUGAAGAGGAGCAGGGACCCGAUCGACCCAAGUCGGCACACGUCACGAUCCCGGCCGCGUACAGCUCGGGCGUCACGCUGUUCGCCCUGCGAGAGUCCCGGCUGGGACGGGAACUCCUGAAGGCCCCCGAGCUCCCUUUGCUGUGACGGGGCUGCCACUCGGGGACAUGAAAGGCUUAUCUUAUUGUGACGUGGAAAUGAAAUACCACGGUAUUGAGCCCAGUGUUUGGGAUCAGCGGACACGCACGCUGCUUCAUCGCCAUCAAGCAUCUUCUCUUCUUCAAAAAUCUUCGUUGCCUCUGGCGAAGCGGCCAGGAAAACAUCCCACAAAACUCCUCCGCCACCUUCUUGUUUGCUCUGUGGCCCGACCAGACUCUACCGAUGUUUAGGACUAAAGCUUUAUAACCUCCGAAAUGGAGGUUAUGUUUGUUUGUUUCUUAAUAAACUGGAUUUUUUUUUUU